GUCCCUUCAGUGACAUCUGAUAAAAUAUGAACGAUGCAGAGAACAUGAGCAUGGCCCCUGCACAAGGAUGCCAUGCACAAAUAGAGAAAUGGAUUUCAAGUUGUU